GCUUAUAUAUUAAGUCCUAAAAUAUUAGUUUUUUAGAUAAAUUAUAUUAUAAAUUUAUAGCUUUAUUAUAAAAAGGUUAUUAUAAUUUAAUUUUAAUAAUAAAAAGUUAUAAAAAUUUUAAAUUUAUACUAGAAUACUUUAGAACUUAUUAUUAUCCCUUAUUUUAUUUUUAUUAUAUAUAAUAUUACUUUUUAAUUAAUUAUAAGUUAUAAAUAAAACCUUUAUUAUAAGCU
rnacentral:tRNA from 1 species